UGCCAGAUUCAUUCCUGUUCGGAAAUGAGACAGAGAAUAACAUGUAAAAUGAUUACGUUCAUUUUAAAUACUGUGAAGGGUAAGUCAGAGGUCAGAUCAUGUCACACCUCUGCUCAGAACCCACCAGUGAAUCUCAGUGUCCUGCAAAACUAACAUCAGAGUUUUUACUUCAUUAUUCAAGAGUUGGGGGCUGCAUCUGACAAGUGGCUGUGGUUUCAGCUCUCUGGAGUUCCACUUUUUUUCUCUUCCACGAAGUUUGUUCACUGCAGUUUGAAGAGCCGAGGCACAUGAGAAAUACCAGGAAUCUCCGAUGUUACAGUUGCAAGCAGUCCAAGAACCAGACUUUGAGAAUCUCUCCUGUAGUCCUGAUGCUUCUGAGAAUGCAGGUUGAUGUUGCACUAACUUUCAAAAGGUAACUGUUGUGCUUUAGGAUUAUGUUGGAUAUACAGCCAGUAAAAAGUACCUAGGUCUGCCUGUAAGCUGAUCUCUCCCACACUAUGUAUUCCUCUGGGACCCACAGAAAGAUUUCUCCUGUGAAAGCCCAGCUUAUUAAAUUUGGCCCAUCUUUCUGAUAUAUCAAGGUCAUUUGGGGCAUAUAUUCUAUCCCUCUCAAGUUAGAGCCAUUAGCAACCAUGUCUGGUGUGCUCACUGUAUCCUCAUCUGCAAAUGGAAAAUGACUUUUUAUUAGACAGGAUGGAUGACAGAGUCUGCACCUCCCCCUAAGACCUCCUGCCCUAUAGCCAGCCUCUUUUGGACCCAGUCGUGUCCACUUAAAAGCAAAGCAUUGGCGUUUUCCCAUUGUGUUCCUCUAGAGAGUAACUGUAUCUCCAAAUUCACGAGGGUAAUGUGUGUCUGAUGGUGGCAUUUCAACUCUGUGGCACAUGGAUGGAGGUGAAAUACAGGACAAUCUGAGCCUUCUUGCUAUUCUGAUGGGUGCUGAUGGGUACAGAAGCAGAAGGCCGUGUUCUUGACUGCACUGGUUACCUC